UUUAAAUCUGAAGUGGUGAGUAAUCAAAUUGAAAUAAUCUAAUAUUAAUAUUAUUAUGCAUGCUUAUAAGCAAAUGAAUACAUUCUGAUAAAAUUUUAUUGUAAAAAGCUUUUUUAUACAAAAUCAAUAAGGAACUCAACCUUUUUUGUGACAUGAGCUCCUUUGGCAGUCUGGUUUGGCCUAUAAAUGUCUUUUAGGAUAAUGUUUUUAAAUGCAUAAAAUAAUACAAAUAGAAAUAAAAGAAAAACAGUUGCAUUGAAAUAUAAUUUUGUGCAUGGACCAUAGGUUACUAACCCCUGCACCAAAUUUUGAAUAGCCCUUUAGUUAGUAUCAAAAAAUGCCUGAGAGUAUAUCUAAAUAGAACAAUUUCUGGAGAUUCUAAGAGCCAAGCUGGCAUGUGUUCAUUAAACACAUAUCUAAUAAAGCCCUUAAAUCAUAUCUUAUAUAUGUUUAUAUGUUUGUUGUUUUGCCUUUAAGUCUGGAAGUAAGAAUUGUAUCAAAUUAGGAAUAAGUAUAUGAUAAAGAUUAAAGAAGAAAAUUGGUUUUGUUGUGACUUACCAAUAUUAUUGUGUCAUUUGGUAGAACUAUUAAAUCUUGGUAUCAAUAUACAUGCCUUAAAAGUUAAUUUUGAGCAUUUCAAAACAUUAUAUGUUUCUCGAUGCCUUGAAUUGAGCCUUGACCAAUUCAACUGUAGAGUUGGCACAUGGAUUGAUGAAUUAAAGGUAUGGGCUUAGUAAAAAAGAAAAUAUGAAUGAAAGAGUAGAAGGAAGGAGCUGAAUGGUGACAAACAGAUUAGUGGAAGUGGAAAUUAGAAAAUAAUAUAGGCUGUGGAAACACACAACAUACACACACAACUACACUGAAGAAUAUGUAUGAGAAGAGAAAAAUAAGGAAAGACUACGUUAGUCUAAUUAGUAAUUUACUUUCCACAGUUCUCUAUGCCCUAGAAAAUUGGAAAUUGCAUUUUGUCUUUGGGUGGCACUACAUACCUCAUAUGAAUAUAAUAGUAUUUUACCUAUUUUUUAGGAAGAAGUUAAAGGAUGGCUGAAUUUCUUUAAAGUUCUUUAUAAACUUUUUUCAUUGUGUAUAUUGCAGUUUCCUAAUUUUCAUCCUCCCCUUUUUUCAUGGAACAGGUAGAAACAGGCCUGAAUUAAAAGAGGUUUGUGCCCGUAUAUUUUGAAAACCAUCACUUAAUGUGAAUAUCAGUAAGUGUUACUUACCAUUUACAAAUUUUCUUUUCCUUUUCUCAAUACUUUGUUGAUUUCUUUGACCUGUAUAUAUUAAAGCACACUGUCAUUUUCAGUGUGCUUCUUAUGUAUCAAAUAUCUUUUCACUUGUGCAUUUGCUUGAUUUGUUUUUCUCAGUGACUUUUGGAUUAUAGAUUUAGUAAAAUCAGAAGAUGGAAAAAAUCUCUCAUAUUAAAUAGAGUGCAUAUUAUAUAUAAAACAUAAUCAAUCUUUUCUUGAUUGUAUUAAAAACAAUGUUAUUACUACAGGUAAUCACCACGAACUCCACUGACUACAGCCUAGAGGAAUGUUCUAACCUUUGUCCAAAUACUAAUCCCUCUACCCCUCCUCUUUUUAUGAAGGCGCUUCACACUGUUCCACUGGGAUAAAGACUGGGAUAAAGGAGAACUACUUAACUGCUAUUUUGAAGCAAAAAAUGCCUUUCCCAUGCUGUAUGUUUCAUGAGGGACAUAGAUCAUGCUAUUCAGAAGCAACCAUUUUGCAACUUCUUAUUCACUGAUCACAAAAGAAUGGAAAUAUGGAUGAAAACAUUUGCGUGCAUGAUGUUUUAAUUAUAAAAUUAAUUUUUGACUACAAAUGUUAAAGUCAGUAAUUUAUUGAGAACAGAUUAACGUGAUGAAAAGAGGGAUGAUGAAGAGGCAGCUGAAGGUGAAGAAGUUAUAAAAGGCUUGAUGCCACCAUUGUGGAAAACUGCAGUGUGUUACACAUUGGGAGAAACCCUCUGUCUGUCCAGAGCUAUCUGCUAAGUGGAUCAUCCUGAAGAUGUACAACUGUAUGAGAAAAGAAAAAAAAAUUAGAGAGUGGCAUUACUUUCUUUCAAACACUAUUUGCAUAUUUUCUUGAAAGCUUUUUCCUUUUGUCUUCUGCAGGCCUUUGAACAUGUUACCGAAAGCAAGGGCUCAGCUUCUUGAUACUAUCCUUUUGACCCUUCAGUAAAAAGUUGUAAAUGGAUCUUAACUUAAAAUAUAUUUGGAUAAUGUGAAUGAAUCUAUAGGAUUUUAUUUUUUUUCGAAAUUAUUUCAAACUAGCAGAACAAUCAUCAACCAAGGAUUUAAAUUCUGUUUGUAUUUCAUUAUCAGAUAUAAUUAUGCUGAGUAAAGUUUUUGCAAGUGAUUUUGUCUAUCAUUGUAU